CAAGCGCACUGCUGAGAAGGAACGUCUAGGGAACGGCCCGUGAGGAGACGCCCGUGAGGAGACGUAGGGAGAGGACUCUGGUGGCAAAUGACAAGCAGCAGAGGCUUCCCUGGAAAGCCUGGGGGGAGAUGGAGGCAGGUGCACAGGCAGCCUCGGUGCUUGCAACCCCAGUCCCAGGAAAGGAUUUGCUCAGCUGGGGAGGCUCUGAAGACAGUCAGAAGAUGCUUCUAAUGCAGACGUGAAAGGGACUGUCCAAGAUGCAACUUGAGAAGCAUUCAAAGGAGGCAGCCAAACCAUUUAUCGCUGUGGAAAUAAUAGAUGGAUAACUGUUACACGGAAGAAUGCACAGACUUGUAGGCAAAGAAAGAAAUGCAGACAAAGCCCCUCCCCAUUUUGAUCAAAUUAGGAAACAAUUAUAAAGCAGUAAAACCCAGUGCUGACAGGGAUGUGGAGAAAAUGACACAUCGGCUUGGCUGUUAACACAUUCUGAUUUGGAAGGUCAACCUCUGUGCAAGAAACAAGUGAUGUGAAAGGC